rfam:Apaloderma vittatum contig59672, whole genome shotgun sequence.
GGGCCAGUCAGCUCAGUCAGCUGAGCGUGGCACUAACAACGCCAAGGUCACGGGUUCGAUUCCCGUUUGGUGCC